UGUACCAGGAGUGGGACGAAGUAGCAUAACUCCCGGCGAGGCGGGAGCUACUCUGCAAGCCUGCUGAAAGAAGAAAACAAAAAAACUCAAAAUAACCUUAAAAACAGAAACCGAAGCAUACGCCAAACCUUCGAAAUGUACAUGUACUGGACUACUUUUUUGUAACGUUGAUAAUAUAUUCUAUGUGAAGAAAGUAUUUAUACUUUUUUUUUCUAUUUGCACUAACUAACGGUACUUCAGAACUACUGAGAAUCUUCAUUUUUUACAAAAAAGUAAGAAACUAUUAAUCACACCCUGUGGGAGGACAUCACUUCACUUCAAAACCAGCACUUUUUUUUAACCUGUUUUAUCAACAUCUACUGGUUGCUUUGACCAUCCUGCCUGGAGAGCAUCUGUGUUGCCAACCACGGAUAAACAAAGCAGCCCCAGUGGACACAUUCAAGGUCAGAAACACCCAAUCUUCACGCACCUGGUAAACUUCGGCAGUUAGCUAUGCAGCUUGAAAUCCAAGUAGCUCUCAACUUCAUCAUCUCCUACCUUUACAACAAGCUGCCGAGGCGGCGGGUUAACAUUUUCGGCGAGGAGCUGGAAAGGCAGCUGAAGCAGAAAUAUGAGGGACACUGGUACCCCGACAAGCCAUACAAGGGCUCAGGAUUCAGAUGUAUCCACGUGGGGGAGAAGGUGGACCCUGUGGUGGAGAAGGCAGCCAAAGAGAGCGGGCUGGACAUCGAGGAUGUCCGCAACAACCUGCCUCAGGACCUCAGUGUCUGGAUUGACCCCUUCGAGGUGUCCUAUCAGAUUGGAGAGAAGGGGCCCGUCAAAGUACUGUAUGUCGAUGACACCAACGAGAGUGGAGCUACAAAUGGGGGGAUUGAUCUGGACAAGGAGAUCAAGAACAGUUUCAAUCCUGACGCGCAGGUAUUCAUGCCCAUCAGUGAGCCUGUGAGCAGCGCCUCUCCAGGCUCCACCUCACCCUCUCCUCCUUUCGGCCACUCGGCGGCAGUCAGCCCCACCUUCAUGCCCCGCUCCACGCAGCCUUUAACCUUCACAACAGCCACCUUCGCCGCCACCAAGUUUGGCUCCACUAAGAUGAAGAGCAGCGGACGCAACAACAAUGGCGGCAGUGGUGGCGGCAGUAGUGCUGGGAACAAGGUGGCACGCACCUCUCCCACCAACCUGGGCCUGAAUGUGAACAGUCUCCUGAAACAGAAAGCCAUCUCCACCUCCAUGCACUCUCUGUACGGGCUGGGCCUCGGGGUGCAGCAGCAGCAGCAGCAGCAGCACCAGAAGCCCUCGGCCCUGUCCCCCAACGCCAAGGAGUUUGUGUUCCCCAGCCUUCAGGGCCAGGGCAGCCAGAGCGCUCUGUUCCCCGGGGACAGCUCGCUCAGCCUCAGCCCGUUGCAGUACAGCAAUGCCUUCGACAUGUUUGCGGCCUACGGUGGCCUUAACGACAAGUCCCUUAUGGAUGGCUUGAAUUUCAGCUUAAACAACAUGCAGUAUUCUAACCAGCAAUUCCAGCCAGUUAUGGCCAACUAGUACACGUUAAGGUACUACUUAAGCUACUACUUCACACAGAAACGACCAGAGAUAAUGUGAUUGGGGGGGGGGGGAGGAAACAAACAUAAAUGCACAUUAUGAAAAAUGGGGAAAAAAAAAAAAACGUGUAAACAUGUCAUGGAUAAAAGGAAAAAGUGACUUGUCAGCUGUAAGAUCUAUGUAGGAGUCUAAGAGCAUGAGCCCGAGGGUGAAUUACUUUGCCCCCUUGAGUUAUACCUUUAGUACAAGAUGUCCGAGCUUGGUUACCUAAAACUUCAACAUGCAUCAUUGUUAUUUCAUUUGCCAACCAAGCACAAAAUAUUUUUUUUUAUGUGACGAAAUGUUUUAAGAUAUAAAAAAAAAGACAAAAAAAACACCACCACAAGUCAUGGCCUCUUUCAGUAUUUAAACAUAACUGGACAACGCCAAUUUUUUCAAGAAAUUGGCAUAAAUAAGUGGGAUUUCCUGGUCUUUUUUCUAUUUGUAUAAUUUAAUUUAGUACAGAGUUUGUAAAAUAUCAGAGUAUCUAUUGUUUCUACGACAUGGUAUUGCAUUUAUAUCUUUUUACUACUCCAGUGAUCUGUGAUGGCUGCAGCAACGUUAUGUUUUCUUUUUUUAUUGAAAUUAUAAAAUGAAUCCAUCUUUAAGAAACACAUGACUAUUCUAAAGAUUGUGUACAGAAUAUUCCGUAGUGGUGGGAUUUAAGAAUAUUUGCUUUUUUGAAAAACAUAAGAGUUGUAUUUUCUGUUAAGAGUUUAAAGAUUUUUGCUAUAUUAUGGACAAAAUGUAAUCGUAUAUUAAUUUUGUACCUACAUUGUGCAAUACUUGAUAAAACAAACGGUAUAACAAAGUAUUUGGAGUCAGUGUCUUACAUGUUAAGAGGAACUGAUAGUUUAUUAAGUUUGUAUUAAAAAGCUUGAAAAUAA